GAGGAAUCGACCCUGCUGUAGCUCAGACUAGCUGACUGGAAGAAAAGGGGUCUCAAAGGAACAGCAGAAGAAGAAGAAGAAGAAGAAGAAGAAGAAGAAGAAGAAGAAGCAUCCAUACAUCAUCCUGGAGAAUAGGAUCAUCCCUGGAUGCCAUAGUCCACCAGCUCUCAUCCAUGGGAAAUAACCCUGUAAUACUGUGAGCAAAUUCUUUAUUACUUUACUUUUUCCUUUAAUUGUGAAUUACUCUUAGAGAGAGCUGAGGAGCUUGCUUUCUUGUAGUGUUUUUUUGUAACUAUCAUCUUCGUUUGUAGCUGUAAUUAGAACCAGAACCUGUGAGAUGUUCUUUAACUUCAUCGCUCACUAAUUGCAAAGAAUAUUUUUAGCGUUCACUAUUGAUUGUAUGUGUAUUGAAAUGGCUAAUGAAGGAAAGGACACUUUUUGUGGUCUUUUUAAAGCUUUCAACUUACUUAUGGUGUGCAGAUGCCUCUGGUAAAAAGCCUUUGCAGUGCAUCUAUGGGGAAAAAACCAAACAUGUAUGUCUCACUGUUGUGUAAGUUAAAUGGUUAGAGAUCCCUGGAGACUCAUUAAACCUAUAAAUCCUCCAACUCAAAUAUACUGACAUGCUAAUAAUAAGUAAAAAAGACUUAAAAAAAAAAAGACUAGGGCAUAUUUUCAAUUUGAUUUUAGAGUUUCAAGGUUCCUGCUGUAGUAAACGCAAAUGUGUUUUUCCUGAGCAUUACCAAAUGACAUUUUCUUUCUCUUUUUAUUGCUUUAAAUGUUGCCAUUGUAUAUAUUGACUCACUCUUAGUAAGCAUUCCCAAGCACUGAUAAAGAUAUGCACAAAUUUUCGUAAAACUGGAAAUGGCCCCCUUUUUAGUGCAAUUGUCUCUUCAUAAAGCAAAAUAGAGUUUUA